rnacentral:rRNA from 2 species
ACUGUAUAAUCCCUGCGGGGGAAAGAUUUAUCGCUAUUAGAUGAGCCUACGUUAGAUUAGCUAGUUGGUAAGGUAAUGGCUUACCAAGGCUAUGAUCUAUAGCUGGUCUGAGAGGACGAUCAGCCACACUGGAACUGAGAUACGGUCCAGACUCCUACGGGAGGCAGCAGUGGGGAAUAUUGGACAAUGGGCGAAAGCCUGAUCCAGCUAUGCCGCGUGAGUAAAGAAGGCCUUCGGGUUGUAAAGCUCUUUCAAUAGGGAAG